AGAAUCAACGCUGGCGGCGUGCCUAACACAUGCAAGUCGCACGAGAAAGGGGAGCAAUCCCUGAGUAAAGUGGCGUACGGGUGAGUAACACGUGAAUCAUCUACCUUCGAGUGUGGAAUAACUGAGAGAAAUCUUAGCUAAUACCGCAUAAUACUUACGAGUCAAAGCAGCAAUGCGCUUGAAGAGGAGUUCGCGGCAGAUUAGUUAGUUGGCGGGGUAAUGGCCCACCAAGACGAUGAUCUGUA
rnacentral:rRNA from 1 species